AAGGAACGAGGGAGGCAUGCCUAACACAUGCAAGUCGAACGAGACCUUCGGGUCUAGUGGCGCACGGGUGCGUAACGCGUGGGAACCUGCCCUUAGGUUCGGCAUAACUCCCCGAAAGGGGUGCUAAUACCGGAUCUUGUCUUCGGACCAAAGGUUUAUCGCCUUUGGAUGGGCUCGCGUUGGAUUAGCUAGUUGGUAGGGUAAAAGCCUACCACGGCGACGAUCCAUAGCUGGGCAGAGAGGAUGAUCAGCCACACUGGUACUGAGACACGGCCCAGACUCUUGCGGGAGGCAGGAGUGGGGAAUAUUGGAAAAUGGGGGGAAGGCUGAUCCAGCAAGGCCGCGUGAGUGAUGAAGGCCUUAGGGUUGUAAAGCUCGUUUACCCGGGAUGAUAAUGACAGUACCGGGAGAAUAAGCACCGGCUAACUCCGUG
rnacentral:rRNA from 1 species